rnacentral:misc_RNA from 1 species
AACUUUUGACAAUGGAUCACUUGGCUCUCGCAUCGAUGAAGAACGCAGCGAAAUGCGAUAAGUAAUGUGAAUUGCAGAAUUCAGUGAAUCAUCGUAUCUUUGAACGCACCUUGCGCUCCUUGGUAUUCCGAGGAGCAUGCCUGUUUGAGUGUCAUUAAAUUCUCAACCAUUAUUAGCUUUUGCUGAUGAUGGCUUGGAUAUGGGGGUUUAUUUUGCGGGCUUCUUCACAGAUGGUCAGCUCCCCUUAAAUGCAUUAGCCGGUGCCCCGCGUGGACUGUCUAUUGGUGUGAUAAUUAUCUACGCCGUCGACAUCUACAAUCAUAUGGGUUUGCACUGCUUCCAACCGUCUGUUUAUUCAGACAAUACAUGACAAUUUGACCUCAAAUCAGGUAGGACUACCCGCUGAACUUAAGCAUAUCAAUAAGCGGAGGCU